UGCGCGGAACAACGUGGGUGCUUAUCGUUUCUAAACAGCGUAUAUAUAAACAUCAAGAACCGCUAUGAGGAUCUUUUGGAAAAUAGUAAAACAGGCAAUGGACUCGGGUACCUCUGCCGAUAAACGUAGUCUUUCUACGAUAACAAAGCUAACUUACGAGGAUGCCGUGUACGCUCUAAACGGACUUCAGAGUAACGCAGCAGUUUUGGAAAAGGCGCG